rnacentral:rRNA from 1 species
GACGAACGCUGGCGGCGCGCUUAACACAUGCAAGUCGAGCGAUGAAGUUCCUUCGGGAAUGGAUUAGCGGCGGACGGGUGAGUAACACGUGGGUAACCUGCCUCAUAGAGGGGAAUAGCCUUUCGAAAGGAAGAUUAAUACCGCAUAAGAUUGUAGUAUCGCAUGAUACAGCAAUUAAAGGAGUAAUCCGCUAUGAGAUGGACCCGCGUUGCAUUAGCUAGUUGGUGAGGUAACGGCUCACCAAGGCGACGAUGCGUAGCCGACCUGAGAGGGUGAUCGGCCACAUUGGGACUGAGACACGGCCCAGACUCCUACGGGAGGCAGCAGUGGGGAAUAUUGCACAAUGGGGGAAACCCUGAUGCAGCAACGCCGCGUGAGUGAUGACGGUCUUCGGAUUGUAAAACUCUGUCUUCAGGGACGAUAAUGACGGUACCUGAGGAGGAAGCCACGGCUAACUACGUGCCAGCCGCCGCGGUAA